UUGGACCUGAUUCCAGGUUGAAUGUGAAGUCGUAACAAG
rnacentral:rRNA from 1 species